CUGGGUGUGGCUCAGCUUGGCUAGAGCACUUGAUUUGGGAUCAAGAGGUCGCAGGUUCAAAUCCUGUCACCCAGA
rnacentral:tRNA from 1 species